rnacentral:rRNA from 1 species
UACGUAGGGUGCGAGCGUUGUCCGGAUUUAUUGGGCGUAAAGGGCUCGUAGGCGGUUUGUCGCGUCGGGAGUGAAAUCCACUGGCUUAACUGGUGGCUUGCUUUCGAUACGGGCAGACUGGAGGUAUGCAGGGGAGAACGGAAUUCCUGGUGUAGCGGUGAAAUGCGCAGAUAUCAGGAGGAACACCGGUGGCGAAGGCGGUUCUCUGGGCAUGUCCUGACGCUGAGAGACGAAAGCUAGGGGAGCGAAUGGG